GGAAAUGGAAACUCCAUUGUCAUUUGGUCAAACAGAAUGAAAAUCGCCUUAGGCACUGCAAAAGGAUUGGCAUAUUUGCAUGAAGGGUGUAAUCCCAGGGUCAUCCAUCGGGAUAUCAAAAGUGAGAAUAUUCUUCUUGAUGAAAAUUUUGAACCAAAGAUCGCAGAUUUUGGACUUGCCAAAGACCCUUCAGAUUCUACUAGUCACAUUUCCACUGAACCAAAGGGAACUUUUGGUUAUUUUGCUCCUGAGUGUUUUAACAAUAGGCG
rnacentral:misc_RNA from 1 species